rnacentral:rRNA from 1 species
GAUGAACGCUGGCGGCGUGCCUAAUACAUGCAAGUCGAGCGAACAGACGAGGAGCUUGCUCCUCUGACGUUAGCGGCGGACGGGUGAGUAACACGUGGAUAACCUACCUAUAAGACUGGGAUAACUUCGGGAAACCGGAGCUAAUACCGGAUAAUAUAUUGAACCGCAUGGUUCAAUAGUGAAAGACGGUUUUGCUGUCACUUAUAGAUGGAUCCGCGCCGCAUUAGCUAGUUGGUAAGGUAACGGUUUACCAAGGCAACGAUGCGUAGCCGUCCUGAGAGGGUGAUCGGCCACACUGGCACUGAGACACGGUCCAGACCCCUACGGGAGGCAGCAGUAGGGAAUCUUCCGCAAUGGGCGAAAGCCUGACGGAGCAACGCCGCGUGAGUGAUGAAGGUCUUCGGAUCGUAAAACUCUGUUAUUAGGGAAGAACAAAUGUGUAAGUAACUAUGCACGUCUUGACGGUACCUAAUCAGAAAGCCACGGCUAACUACGUG